GAAUAGACUACCCAGGUAGUCCACGCCGUAAACGAUGGAUACUAGCUGUUCGUCCGCCUCGGCGGAUGAGUGGCUAAGCGAAAGUGAUAAGUAUCCCACCUGGGGAGUACGAACGCAAGUUUGAAACUCAAAGGAAUUGACGGGGGCCCGCACAAGCGGUGGAGCAUGUGGUUUAAUUCGAUGAUACGCGAGGAACCUUACCAAGGCUUAAAUGUAGGAUUGGACAGGACUGGAAACAGUUUUUUCUUCGGACAAUUUACAAGGUGCUGCAUGGUUGCCGUCAGCUCGUGCCGUGAGGUGUCAGGUUAAGUCCUAUAACGAGCGCAACCCCUGUUGUUAGUUGCCAGCGAGUGAUGUCGGGAACUCUAACAAGACUGCCAGUGUAAACUGUGAGGAAGGUGGGGAUGACGUCAAAUCAUCACGGCCCUUACGCCUUGGGCUACACACGUGCUACAAUGGCCGGUACAGAGAGCAGCCACUGCGCGAGCAGGAGCGAAUCUAUAAAACCGGUCACAGUUCGGAUCGGAGUCUG
rnacentral:rRNA from 1 species